GUCCACGCCAUAAACGAUGAGGACUAGACGUUGGGAGGGUUAGCCUUUCAGUGUCGCAGCUAACGCGAUAAGUCCUCCGCCUGGGGAGUACGGCCGCAAGGUUGAAACUCAAAGGAAUUGACGGGGACCCCGCACAAGCGGUGGAGCAUGUGGUUUAAUUCGAUGCAACGCGAAGAACCUUACCUGGCCUUGACAUCUGUCGAAUCCUGCAGAGAUGUGGGAGUGCCUUCGGGAACGACAAGACAGGUGCUGCAUGGCUGUCGU
rnacentral:rRNA from 1 species